rnacentral:lncRNA from 1 species
UUCCUCUUUGACACCUACCUUACUCUCUCCCUCCACUCACACUCUGAGAACUGUGCUCAGGGGCAGCGCUACAACUUCCACAUUGGUCUUCACAGGGCUUCAGUGAUUCUUUCAAGAACAGAACCCUGAGUGGAGGUUAUUAUUAUUGAAACCUUUACCACAUUUCAUUGCAUCUAAGACACAUUUUUCUUUUUUUUUUGUAAUUUAACAUCUCUAAGGUUGGGUUAUGUUUCUUCAUCGUCAGGUUGAAGUUUAAUUAGCAGCAUGUUUUUUUUUUCUUAAUGUCACACACAGUAAUGGUGAUGCAUCUCACAAUUGAGAUCAUCUUAGACAUGAUGGAAUAUGGAAUCGUGUGCCUGUUACAAGCCAGGCUCUUGUCUGGGUUCUAGAGACGGUGGAACCCAAGACAGCACCAUCCUCUAGUGGUGUUCACAUCCCACCACAGUGAAGUCAGGACUUUGAAGUCCUCCAUUGGAUCUGCUUGGAAGAUGAGGGAAAUGAGAGAGUGUGGAGAGAGAUUUUGUAAGUCGGGUCUGGAAGUGGUCAUUGUUCAGAAUCCAGCCACGUGGCUACAUGGAACUGUAAGGCUUUAUAGUUAUUUUUCAACGUGGGAAACUGAAAUCGGGCAUAUCCCUGUGGAAGAAGCUGUCCCUUAGCGAAGAAUAAAACUGUGGACUGACCCCCACCCAUUUGCGAAGAAAGUACUGGGUCUCCAGCUUUCAUUGUUCAGCCGGUGGUCUUUGUGGACAACACCAGGGGCCCCUCCUGCUGAAGACUGUCUGGACUUCCUGAUUUUCACUCCUGUAUAAACCCCCUCCCCCAUGACUACCUUUGGCUCCUUGGGGGAAAGAAAUGUUUUUCACUUAAGCAAAAUAAAAACUACCCAGUAUUUGUUUCUGGAGUGAAAUUAUAAACUUCAUUGUACAUUCUUCCUGGCUUUGAUGCUUAUCUUGAAGAGUUCAGUGAAAAUAAAUUGUUUUUAUGAAA